rnacentral:rRNA from 1 species
CCAAAGAAACAAGGUGGCCUGGGGUUCAAAGAUUUUUGCUUGUUCAACCAAGCUUUGUUGGCACGCCAAGCCUGGAGGAUUCUGGAGUUUCCACAUACUUUGUGUGCCAGGUUACUUAAAGCCAAAUACUUCCCAAAUGGAUGCCUCUUGGAUACUGUGUUUUCUUGCAGCCCAUCGCCUACUUGGCAAGCGACUGUCCAUGGUCUAGAUCUCUUGAAAAAAAGCAUGGUAUGGAGGAUUGGGACGGGCCAAAAUGUUCGCAUCUAG